rnacentral:rRNA from 1 species
GCCUAGCCAUAAACAUAGACAAUAUAAACACACCAUUGUCCGCCAGAGAACUACAAGCGAAAAACUCGAAACUCCAAGGACUUGGCGGUGCUCCACACCAACCUAGAGGAGCCUGUCCUAUAAUCGAUACUCCACGUUUAACCUUGCCACCUUUAGCCACUCAGCCUAUAUACCGCCGUCGUCAGCUUACCUUGUGAAAGUAACAAUAGUAGGCAUAAUAGUUAUUAACUAACACGUCAGGUCAAGGUGUAGCACAUAAGAUGGAAGAGAUGGGCUACAUUUUCUGUCACAGAACAGACGAACGGCACAAUGAAACAUGUACCCGAAGGCGGAUUUAGCAGUAAGACAGACAAGAAACACUAUCUUAAACCCGCUCUGGAGCGCGC